UUCCGGUUGAUCCUGCCGGAGGUCACUGCUAUUGGGAUUCGACUAAGCCAUGCGAGUCGAGAGGGUUCGGCCCUCGGCUGACGGCUCAGUAACACGUGGAUAAUCUGCCCUUAGGUGGAGAAUAAUCUCGGGAAACUGAGGAUAAUACUCCAUAGAUCUAGGAUGCUGGAAUGCAUUUAGAUUGAAAGCUCCGGCGCCUAAGGAUGAGUCUGCGGACUAUCAGGUUGUAGUCAGGGUAAAGACCUGACUAGCCUACGACGGAUACGGGUUGUGAGAGCAAUAACCCGGAGACGAUAUCUGAGACACGAUAUCGGGCCCUACGGGGCGCAGCAGGCGCGAAAACUUCACACUGUGCGAAAGCGCGAUGAGGGAAUCCCAAGUGUUUGCUCGUAAGAGUAAACUGUUUCUUUGUUUAAAACGCAGAGAGAGUAAGGGCUGGGUAAGACGGGUGCCAGCCGCCGCGGUAAUACCUGCAGCUCAAGUGGUGAUCAUUAUUAUUGGGCCUAAAACGUCCGUAGCCGGUUUAGUAAAUGCCUGGGUAAAUCGUGUAGCUUAACUAUACGACUUCCGGGUAGACUGCUAAACUUGAGACCGGGAGAGGCUAGAGGUACUCCUGGGGUAGAGGUGAAAUUCUGUAAUCCUAGGGGGACCACCAGUGGCGAAGGCGUCUAGCUAGAACGGGUCUGACGGUGAGGGACGAAGCCCUGGGGCGCAAACCGGAUUAGAUACCCGGGUAGUCCAGGGUGUAAACGCUGCUUGCUUGAUGUUAGUUGGGCUCCGAGCCCAACUAGUGUCGGAGAGAAGUUGUUAAGCAAGCUGCCUGGGGAGUACGGUUGCAAGGCUGAAAACUUAAAGGAAUUGGCGGGGGAGCACAGCAACGGGUGGAGCGUGCGGUUUAAUUGGAUUCAACGCCGGAAAUCACUAGUGCGGCCGCCUGCAGUCGACCAUAU
rnacentral:rRNA from 1 species